rnacentral:rRNA from 1 species
AGAAUCAACGCUGGCGGCGUGCCUAACACAUGCAAGUCGCACGAGAAAGUGGAGCAAUCCAUGAGUACAGUGGCGCACGGGUGAGUAACACGUGAAUAAUCUACCUCCGAGUGAGGAAUAACUUCGGGAAACCGAGGCUAAUACCGCAUAACACUUACGAGUCAAAGCAGCAAUGCGCUUGGAGAGGAGUUCGCGGCAGAUUAGCUAGUUGUGGGGUAAUGGCCCACCAAGGCGAUGAUCUGUA